rnacentral:rRNA from 1 species
UACGUAGGGUGCAAGCGUUAAUCGGAAUUACUGGGCGUAAAGCGUGCGCAGGCGGUUAUAUAAGACAGAUGUGAAAUCCCCGGGCUCAACCUGGGAACUGCAUUUGUGACUGUAUAGCUAGAGUACGGUAGAGGGGGAUGGAAUUCCGCGUGUAGCAGUGAAAUGCGUAGAUAUGCGGAGGAACACCGAUGGCGAAGGCAAUCCCCUGGACCUGUACUGACGCUCAUGCACGAAAGCGUGGGGAGCAAACCGG